rnacentral:tRNA from 1 species
AGCCUUGAGGUGUUCUACACAUUAGAUUGCAAAUCUUAAGUUGCAGAGUAACGUCUGCCGGGGCUU